AUUGAACGCUGGCGGCAUGCUUUACACAUGCAAGUCGAACGGUAACAGGCCGCAAGGUGCUGACGAGUGGCGAACGGGUGAGUAAUGCAUCGGAACGUGCCCAGUCGUGGGGGAUAACUACUCGAAAGAGUAGCUAAUACCGCAUACGAUCUAUGGAUGAAAGCGGGGGACCGUAAGGCCUCGCGCGAUUGGAGCGGCCGAUGUCAGAUUAGGUAGUUGGUGGGGUAAAGGCUCACCAAGCCAACGAUCUGUAGCUGGUCUGAGAGGACGACCAGCCACACUGGGACUGAGACACGGCCCAGACUCCUACGGGAGGCAGCAGUGGUGAAUUUUGGACAAUGGGCGCAAGCCUGAUCCAGCAAUGCCGCGUGCAGGAAGAAGGCCUUCGGGUUGUAAACUGCUUUUGUACGGAACGAAACGGCUCUGGUUAAUACCCGGGGCUAAUGACGGUACCGUAAGAAUAAGCACCGGCUAACUACGUG
rnacentral:rRNA from 1 species